UACAGAGGGGGCAAGCGUUGUCCGGAAUUAUUGGGCGUAAAGAGCUCGUAGGCGGCUUGUCACGUCGGGUGUGAAAGCCCGGGGCUUAACCCCGGGUCUGCAUUCGAUACGGGCAGGCUAGAGUGUGGUAGGGAGGAUCGGAAUUCCUGGUGUAGCGGUGAAAUGCGCAGAUAUCAGGAGGAACACCGGUGGCGAAGGCGGAUCUCUGGGCCACUACUGACGCUGAGGAGCGAAAGCAUGGGGAGCGAACAGG
rnacentral:rRNA from 1 species